rnacentral:lncRNA from 1 species
CUACAUGUUUGAUUUUCAAGUUCUAUUUGAUAAGUUAUGUGAGCAAUAGAUUGACACAGGGAAUGAAAGUAAUCAUUUCUUCAAAUACGCAGGGAGAAUGCACAAGACGACAUCACAGAAGAAAUACAAUGUGGUGUUAAUACAAAUCAUGAAGAUUUUGUUUACAUUUGGCAUUUACCUAACUUCAACAGCCAUUUUUAUUUAAUGAUUACAUGUUCUGAUAAAUAAUAGUCAUGAAAUGGAACAUGAAAAGGAAUUAAAAUGUUGUAAUUAUGAGGGGAAAAAAAAGUAGCAGCUAAUCUUUGUAAGUUAAUGUGCAGGGGGGAAAAGCUAAUUCAACAACUAUUUCUGGAGUGUCCAUUAUAUGCCAGGCUCCAGGAUACAGCAGUGAACAAUACAGACAAAAUCUCUGUUUUCAUGGAACUUCUAGCGGGAAAAUGUACCAGUAAAGUAAAAAUGACAAACCUCCAAAAAUAAAUGCCAUCUGGGUUCCUAGAGCAGGAAAGCCUCUGACCUGCUCUUGUUUUGUUAUUCUUUGUCCAUUAGAAAUUGUCUUUUACUGAAAUGUUACAGUGACCAUCUUGUGAGUAAUUUUUGGCUUCUCUUUAAAGUUCUUCUGUAUUUCCCAAAUUUUCUACAAUGAGGCUCUAUUACUGUUUAAUUUAAAAAAAAAAGAGCUUAUUAAGAGGAAAAAAACGUGACAGGCAAGAAGUUCAAAGUUGUAAAUCUUGGGAGUGUGGAAGGCUCACUCAAACACCUCCUUUUAGCACCUUACUGCCACUCCGGAACUUAAAAAAAAGAAAAGAGUCUUUUUAAAAAGCAGCUCAUGUUGCUUUCACUUUGGGUGACUCCCCCUGCCCUUCUCUUGUUCUUGAGCUCCUCUGAUACAGUCUAAAGCAGCUUAUUUUUCAGUCUCAUGUAACUUAAAAUCCACUUGUAAACAUUCCGGAUGCCGGGAGACUUGUCUCUUCCUUGCCUCUUCCUCUUUCUCUGGACUAUCUGGUUCUCCUGUCCUUUUACCUACAAAGUUCACCACUGCUCUGACUCCCUCUCUGUGUACCAGGACAUCCAAACUUUGAAAUGCCUGAGGCUGUCUAAGAGUCUUCAUAGCAUGUAUUGACAUGCAAAGGGUUCCAGACUUUCCCACU